rnacentral:misc_RNA from 1 species
AAAGUCGUAACAAGGUUUCCGUAGGUGAACCUGCGGAAGGAUCAUUAUCACGUAUCCACGUUUAUCAACCAUUGUGAACUGUCUUUAUUGACCUUUAAGUUGUUAGAAUUUCGUUGUUGAUGUAUACUUCCCUUUAAUGUGGAGAAUAACAUUUAUUGUUGAUUUGAGUUAUUCCGUAUAUAUUAACCAAAGCAAUUAUUUCUAAUUUCUUAAAGUGUAACUUUCAAAUCACUUUUAUUAUUAACAAUUUAAACCCAAAUAAACUUUUUAUUUGAACUGAAUUAAUUUCAUUUCUCUGUUUUACAGGGACUGAAAUAAAAUUUUACGAAACAUAAGAACAACUCUUAGCAACGGAUAUCUUGGUUCUC